rnacentral:lncRNA from 1 species
CUCCAGCCGCUCCAGCCGGUCCCAGUCGAUCCAGCGGAAAAAGCCGUGCGCCCGGAUUGUGGGUUCCCCGUCGGGCCCGGAGCCCAGGCGCUUUGCUGGGUGUUUGGUCAAGAACUGGGGGAAACACGAAGAAGGACAGUGCGAUGGACAGGAGGCCCAGAGAACGGAGGAAACGACAAAGAAUGGCAGAGGGACAGAGCAACACGGGCACGGAGACCAGAGGGAGAACAGAGGGGGAGGAGCAGAAAGAGGAGGGAGGAGAAUGUGGGAGUGGAGUGGGAAUGGGAAGAGGCGAACUCCAGCCCCAGGGACCCGGGGGUGGGCAGAGAACGAGAAGAAAAUCAAAGCGUGAGGGUUCGAGGGGCAGAGAAAGCCAGGAAGAGAGGAAGGAGACAUGGGACAUCCCCGAAAGGGAAGGAAGAAGAAGAGGGCAGAGAGGGUUGGACACGCGGAGAAAAGGAGGAAGAGAGACCCAGAGAGGGAAGGGCAGACGCCAAGCAUGGGGAGACACUGGCAAGAGGUGCACACAGGAAACCCCAGCAGGCGUAGAGAGGCAGAGGCAGGAGACAGAGACCCGGAGAUGGUGGUCAGAGGGCCGGCCGAGGCGCAGGAGCAGAGGCAGAAGGGUGCAAACCUCCCACACCAGCUCCGAGACUGCACGAGAGGGGACCACGGUGUGGAGCUGUGGGACUUAGGGCUAUCGGACCCUCACCGCCACCCCCAGGCCAGGAGAGGCAGGGGCUGGCAGCGGCCGGGCGGGGGCCCAGACUCAGACAGGGUGGUAGCGACCUGGCAAAGUAACGAUCCAUCAACAUGUCCGACAGAGGCAAGCCCAGGGGCUGGGGAAGGGAGGCUUCCCAGAAGGGCUGGCCACGUGGAGUGUGGGUGACCCGGGGGCGCAGAGGGGCUCUCACCCCCUUGCAGAUGGCCACAGCUUCCCGGGAAAGUGACUUGGGAUAGGUGACUGUCUGCUCCAUGAUGGCCUGAAACAGCUCCUCCUCAUCCUCCCCGUCAAAGGGCGGCUAUGAGAGUGGAGCGAGGGAGGUCAGAGACUCAAACUUCCACCAUCGUCGGACCGUGACCAGGACCAACUGCUGACCCCGACAGCUCCGGAGGGCAGACCACACCACCAAGCCCCCAUCGCCCCAGCCUUCCGCCUCCAGGCCUCAUCCUGCACCUCGCUGCUCCCUGGCCCUCUUUGUCUGCAAGUGCCUUCUCCACAUUAGCUCAGCGGCCCCUUCUUCUGGGGCAAGGGAGGCUCCUGAGGGCAGAGGUUCGUAAUUUGAAGUUCAGCUGGUCCGUGGCCACCACCGAGGGGGCUGUGCAACAGGAUGGGAAAACUGGCAUCUUACUUAGCUCGGUGCCAGCUGAAGGUCAGAUUUCCCCCGAUUAAGAAUGCAGGCAGGGCCAGGGAUUUAGCUCCAUGGUUUGGCCGCCUGCUGUGCAAGCGCAAGUACCUGAGUUCAAUCCCGGGUACCAAAGAAAAAAAGAAUGCAGGCAACAAACUGCCACAGCUGCACUUGCAUCUUUACCACCAAUAGCAGCCACAGGUAUUUCCAAUUAUCGCUCCUGCCUCACACUCACUGCAAGACCUUCCUUUUUAUUUUGUAUUACUGUGAGAGCACAUAAGAACCUGAACAUGUUCCCAUAUUCCAACUUCUAAUAUUUAGAUAGCUUAUAUAUUUAAUUUAAUUAGGUUAGACUAAUUGGACUUUAAGUUUUGGUAACUAUAUUUCUUUUUUUCUUUUUUUGGUAUCGGGAUUGAACUCGGGACCUUGCGCUUGUGAGGCAGGCGCCUGAACCACUGAGCUAGAUCCCCGGCCCCUGUUAACUAUAUUCCAAUGGCUGCUUGCUUGCUUGCUUGCUUUCUUUUUUUGGUACAGGGAACGAACUAUCAAUGAUUGCUUUCUUUUGUCACCUAUUUUAUUUCGUGAACAUGAAAAUAUUAUUUUGGGAAGGAGUUCAUAGGUUUGGCCAGACCACUAGCAACAGAUUGAGAACCCUGGGCCCGUGCAGCAAAAUAAGGCUUCAGAACCUCGGACAGCGGCGCCCAGCCCACCUCGGCGGCCCGGGAGAACUAUGGGCCCCUCCUGGCCCCGCCGUUCCCGACCCAGGGCUCCCUCCGCAGCCAGCACCUCCCCGUCCACCCCACCGUCCUUACCUGCCCUGCCAACAUUUCGUAGAGCAGCACCCGGAAGGACCACCAAUCGACGGACUUCCCAUAGGGCUGGUAGGCAAUGAUCUGAGGAGAGGGCAUGGCCAGGAGUGACCAUCUUCCCCAGGAACCCGGCUCUCGGGCCUCACACCCAGGACACCCACCGCAAGUGCUUUCCACGCAAGCUCCUCCCACUCUGAACAUUUCGUCUAGAGCUCCGCCCUUUGGAAAAUUCAGGAAACAAAGUUUACCUACAUAGAAUGUUUCGUGUUUUGUUUGGCUUGGAUUUUGGUACUGGAGAUUGAACUCGGGACCUUGCACUUUAGAGGCAGGCGGCGGAACCACUGAGCUAAAUCCCUGGCCCUGAACGUUUCUUUAUUCUCAGAUAUAAAAGCUAUUUAAGGUCUGAGUCACAAGUUCCACCCACUUAGGAUCUUUUUGUAACUGGACCUUCCCUUCCAGUUGGGCCUGGGGCUACAUCUCAGAGACCAGAGAUUCUUAAACCUGAACCAACAGCAGGGUCAUUGAAGGACUUUUAUUUUUAUUUAUUCAUUUUUAAAUUUUAUUUUAUUUGGUACCAGGAACUGAGCUCAGGACCUUGCACUUUCGAGGCAGGUGGCAGAACCACUGAGCUAAAUCCCUGGCUUCAGGACUUUUAUUUUUAGACAAGGUCUUGCUAUGUAGUUCAGACUGGCCUAGAACUUGUGGUGACCCUCCUGCCUCAGCCUCCUGGGUGCUCUGAUUACAGGUGUGUGCCACCACACCUGGCUAGUUUUUUUUUCAUCAAAGGACUUUUUGAAAAAUAGAUGUUCCCAUUCCUGAAGAGUCCUGGGUUCCAUAAGCCAGAGUUACAGUCAGAAAAAUAUGUAUCAUUUUCUAAGUUUCUGAAGGUGAUUCUCUUACCAGUUUUACAACCACUGACACUGAUUAUUUGGGCACUUGCAUCAACCAACUAAGAAGACUGAGGGCCAACAUCCCCAUACAACUUGCUGUCCAACUUAGGAAGUCAGGAACACACACCACCCAUCUCCAGUCUGCCAAGAACUGAUGCCCCUCUGCCAUGUGCCACCCUACCUUGGAGCCAGCUGAUUAUGGACUGCAACCUCUACAAACUGCGAGCUAAAUAAACCUUUCUCCUUUAA